rnacentral:rRNA from 1 species
AGCGCAACCCUUGUCCUUAGUUACCAGCACGUUAUGGUGGGCACUCUAAGGAGACUGCCGGUGACAAACCGGAGGAAGGUGGGGAUGACGUCAAGUCAUCAUGGCCCUUACGGCCUGGGCUACACACGUGCUACAAUGGUCGGUACAAAGGGUUGCCAAGCCGCGAGGUGGAGCUAAUCCCAUAAAACCGAUCGUAGUCCGGAUCGCAGUCUGCAACUCGACUGCGUGAAGUCGGAAUCGCUAGUAAUCGUGAAAUCAGAAUGUCACGGUGAAUACGUUCCCGGGCCUU